UGGUGGCUGGUAGCUUUGGAGUCUCUGAUUCUGAUCGCCUCACCUCACUUCCUAGCAGCUCGAUCUGCAAGCUUUUAGUGACGCUCCCUAUACUCCUUAUAGUAGGUUGGUACUUGGUACCUGCAACGAAGGCGCGCUCGUCUCAUCUCACCGCAGUGAUCUGUGCAGGCGCCGUGAAAACGAUGGCGCUGGUGCGGGUGGCUCCGGCUGCAGCCCAUCAUGAGGUCACCUCACAAGGCAACUGAUGCGAGGAGAUCGAGAUCCGGAUCGAGAUGACCCAGGCCGCUGUUGCAAUCCUCGCAUGAACCCUCCCUGCCCGGAUCGAUGGCGACGGCGACGGCGACUUGCUUGGAUCUUUGCUACUACUCCAUUCCGUCUCUCCAUGUACGGUGACUUGGACCAGCGUCAGUCUUACUCGAUCUUAUACCACCAUUACCAGUACCACACCAACCCCUCUUCCUGAUUGGUAUUUGGAUAUAGAAAAUAAAAGAUCUUGCUUUUGUCCGGUUUGGUGGAUCAUAAAAGGUGGCUUUGCCUGUCUGCUGGCCACACCUCCUUUUUCACAUGCAAAGGAUUUGCAUCAUCUGUUGGGCUCCUAUGUGAGGUGCAAUUCCAUGGACCCCAUCAGAUUAGUUUGCAGCUCUUAGGCCUGCAAGAUUCUGAGUUCUGUGAUCCCAGUACUGUGUUAUACUUGGACCCAGAUUCUUUGAUUUGUCCUUUGGUGAGAUAGAGAAUGGCACUAUUGGGGGAGGUGUUAGGUGUUCAUGCCCCCACAAGGGUAGAAUUUGCCAGAAACACAAAUACAAGGGCGGUUCGAUGAAUGGAAGCGUGUUUUUGUGCCGUGUAAAGAUUGAUAGGUGGUAAACAAAAGGGUGAUGCUGGUGAAGGAUUCAGCCUCGUUUGAGUGGUUACAAUUGGUUGCUGAAAUGGAAGGUUUGCUCCAUGAGAAAGACGCCGGACUCCAUGAGAAAAUUACAUUCGGAAAAGUGUGAACCGGUUCACCUCAGUUAUAAACUACUCUGCGCGGUUGUGUGAGGCCGAGUCACCUUGAGUUUGACGUGCCCAUUACAUGCUUGAUUGAGUGCCUGAGCUGAGAGGCUACAAUUGCUGAUUUCUGGAUGCUGUGACUUGUAACCAGCACUUGUCUGGAACCAUGCAUUCAGAUGUGUUGCCAAAAGACAAAAGCUCAAUAUAUAGUACUGCUACCUGUUGAAGCGGUAUUCAUAUGCCAACUGCCGUGCUUGGUCAAGUCAGCAUGUAGUACGUGUUUUGGAAUUUGGAUGUUUAAGGUACUGAAAAUGAUGUCCCUGGCUGCUAACAGCAUAUAAAUGUUGACCGCUGCGGUAGGGUGUGCAUGUUUUGAUCAUUCAGUGGAGCAGGCUAAGCAUAUUGCUUCUAUUGGGUCACACUCAACUCAACACACUAUAUGCUGCGGGAGAAGCAUUCAAAGGGCCGCUGUCUUUAUCAUGCUAAUGUAGAGAUUACCUGUUGCAGAAUAUCGUAACUCCAUUAAUUAGGAUAAGGACUGCCAACAACUGCAUAUGGUCUUGGAGGAUUGCAACACAUUGAACCAAUAAUCUUGCAACUAAACUGUAAUGUUUCACAUGGUAUAGUAGAAGCAUCACUUGUCACUCUGUGUUCAGUUGUCAUGACUUCAGAUUCCGAUGCUUUUAUUGUGCAAUUCUGGUGGGUCAUAAAGGCAGCAAUUGCAUUCUCUUUUUAUUC